GGAAUCGGAGUUGACUCCAGUCGCCCCAGUGCUACGCUCCUUCCCACCCUUCAAAAUUACCUGGAAAACAAACAGGACAAAACAAAGAAGACAGAAGGAAGAGAGAAAACAAAAGAACUGUAGGAGCCAAAGAAGGCCUCUUUGGAGAAUAACCUGGAACCAUGAAGGCUGAUGACCUCAGCAGAAGAGACUCCAUUCCACAGCUGAUACUCGACAACUGCUUAAAACAACAGCUGAAUGGAGAUGGGAAAUGUCUAAUAUUCAACCACAUGCUAAUGAAAAAUAAUCUGUGGGUUAUAUUAGGAUGCUGAUUAUUUGAAAAUUGUGCCUAGGCUCCUCCUGUAGGCAACGCUUCCAAAUGGUUUAGAAUGUUUGUUUCAUUUUGUAACUACAUAAA